AGUAGUUUGAUCCUGGCUCAGGAUGAACGCUGGCGGCGUGCUUAACACAUGCAAGUCGAACGGGGUUUACGAGAAGCUUGCUUUUUGUAAACCUAGUGGCGGACGGGUGAGUAACGCGUGAGUAACCUGCCUUAGACUGGGGGAUAACACUUAGAAAUAGGUGCUAAUACCGCAUAAGCGCACAGUAUCGCAUGAUACAGUGUGAAAAACUCCGGUGGUCUAAGAUGGACUCGCGUCUGAUUAGCUAGUUGGUGAGGUAACGGCCCACCAAGGCGACGAUCAGUAGCCGGCCUGAGAGGGUGAACGGCCACAUUGGGACUGAGACACGGCCCAAACUCC
rnacentral:rRNA from 1 species